AGUGAACGCUGGCGGUAGGCCUAACACAUGCAAGUCGAACGGCAGCACAGUAAGAGCUUGCUCUUACGGGUGGCGAGUGGCGGACGGGUGGGGAAUACAUCGGAAUCUACUUUUUCGUGGGGGAUAACGUAGGGAAACUUACGCUAAUACCGCAUACGACCUACGGGUGAAAGCAGGGGAUCUUCGGACCUUGCGCGAUUGAAUGAGCCGAUGUCGGAUUAGCUAGUUGGCGGGGUAAAGGCCCACCAAGGCGACGAUCCGUAGCUGGUCUGAGAGGAUGAUCAGCCACACUGGAACUGAGACACGGUCCAGACUCCUACGGGAGGCAGCAGUGGGGAAUAUUGGACAAUGGGCGCAAGCCUGAUCCAGCCAUACCGCGUGGGUGAAGAAGGCCUUCGGGUUGUAAAGCCCUUUUGUUGGGAAAGAAAAGCAGCAGGUUAAUACCCCGCUGUUCUGACGGUACCCAAAGAAUAAGCACCGACUAACUUCGUG
rnacentral:rRNA from 1 species